AUUGAACGCUGGCGGCAGGCCUAACACAUGCAAGUCGAAUGGUAACAGGAAACAGCUUGCUGUUUCGCUGACGAGUGGCGGACGGGUGAGUAAUGUCUGGGAAACUGCCUGAUGGAGGGGGAUAACUACUGGAAACGGUAGCUAAUACCGCAUAACGUCACAAGACCAAAGAGGGGGACCUUCGGGCCUCUUGCCAUCAGAUGUGCCCAGAUGGGAUUAGCUAGUAGGUGGGGUAACGGCUCACCUAGGCGACGAUCCCUAGCUGGUCUGAGAGGAUGACCAGCCACACUGGAACUGAGACACGGUCCAGACUCCUACGGGAGGCAGCAGUGGGGAAUAUUGCACAAUGGGCGCAAGCCUGAUGCAGCCAUGCCGCGUGUAUGAAGAAGGCCUUCGGGUUGUAAAGUACUUUCAGCGGGGAGGAAGGGAGUAAAGUUAAUACCUUUGCUCAUUGACGUUACCCGCAGAAGAAGCACCGGCUAACUCCGUG
rnacentral:rRNA from 1 species